UUCUUGGCUCCAGUAUAGAACCCUCAACCUACAGGCACAGAUCCUUCCCCCCACUGGCAUAGACUUUCUGGCUUCCACUGCUGACCUUUGGGCCGGUCCAGUGCAGAUCCAUAAAACAGACUUGCUCGCUGGCAGAGUCAGGUCCGGACGCUCUGCCGACCCUGCGCAGUGUUAAGAUGGCAGAAAACUACAGGAAGCACUUGAAAGUCAUCCCGUCCCCUCGAGUCCACGGCGACAAGAUGAGAAACACAGACAGAUUACUCUGCACUCCCAGAAAGUACAGAAGCGUCCCAGGAAGCAGAGGAAACUGGCUCCACUGUGCAAGGCGGUGACACUGCUAAAGAGGAAGGAGCCAGGAAGGGAUGCUGGAUGCAAGGACCAGAGCUGCCCAAAGAGAACCACAGCCACUCUCCCCAACAAGGUCCCAAGCUCCUCUGAUGGCGAUGGUUGAACUCACACAGGGGAAGCUGGUCAUGACGAGCUCCUCCAGGAGAACCAACGGCUCAGACGACAGCCCUCAGAGAAAGCCACAGUGCCCUGCUCUUCUCAUCUCCUUUUAUGCUGGUGACUUUCCUCAGGUGGGCUGUCUGCAGGCAGCACCAUGCUGAUGUAAUUCAGCUGGUGCUAAAUUGACCACCAGUUUUUAAUCCAUAACAGAGGUGUUACAUCCACGGGCCGACUCCCCAGGAUGGAUCUUGUCAUUAUGUGCUUGCAGACAUGGGUAACAACAGCAAACCUUGAAACAGGACAAUCAUCAUCCAACCUGCUACCCAGGGCACAGAAUUUACCCACCCAAUGCAGUAUCAGGUCAUUCUGACGUCAGCUCCUUUUGAUCUGCAUUUAUACAGG